rnacentral:tRNA from 1 species
AAUAGGGUAAGCUAACAUACUUUAAGCUGUUGGGCUCAUAACCCAAAAAUAGAUAUACUCUCCCUAUUA